GUUUCUCACAAGCCACCUGCACAUCGGACUCAGGCUCCCAGCUGUGCAGCUCACGCAGAAUCAGCGAGCAUCCUGGUGUUCACCUGUCGGGGUCCAGCAGGAAGGCUCUCGCCGCGGGACGCUGGCUGAGGUUGGACAGCACCGGCCCCAGACGGAUUGGGAAAUACUCCCUUCAGUUUUCUGCAAGAGUUUCGACUUCCGGUCAAGAUG